GAAACAUUUUAAAGAAUGUGAGAAGCACAAGCCUUCACCAACUCCAUACUACUACAAAUCACCUCCACCUCCCUCACCGGUUUACAAGUACAAAUCGCCACCUCCACCGGUCCAUUACUAUUCACCUCCAUAUUACUACAAGUCACCUCCACCUCCCUCACCAGUUUACAAGUACAAUUCCCCACCUCCACCAGUCCACCAUUAUGAUCCUCCAUAUUACUACAAGUCACCUCCACCUCCCUCACCAGUUUACAAGUACAACUCCCCACCUCCACCAGUCCACCAUUACGAUCCUCCAUAUUACUACAAGUCACCUCCACCUCCCUCACCGGUUUACAAGUACAACUCCCCACCUCCACCAGUCCAUUAUUAUUCACCUCCAUAUUACUACAAAUCACCCCCUACUCCUGUGAAAUCGCCACCACCUCCAUACUACUAUAAAUCACCGCCUCCUCCCUCACCAGUUUAUAAGUAUAGCUCACCACCUCCACCAGUCCACCAUUAUGAUCCUCCAUAUAACUACAAGUCACCUCCACCGCCUUCACCUGUUUACAAGUACAACUCCCCACCUCCACCAGUCCAUUAUUAUUCACCUCCAUAUUACUACAAAUCACCCCCUCCUCCUGUGAAAUCGCCACCACCUCCUUACUACUAUAAAUCACCUCCUCCUCCCUCACCGGUUUACAAAUACAACUCACCACCUCCACCGGUUUACAAGUACAACUCACCACCUCCGCCAGUCCAUUAUUACUCUCCUCCAUAUUACUAUAAGUCACCUCCACCUCCUUCACCGGUUUACAA
rnacentral:lncRNA from 1 species